GAUGGUCGGCAAGUAUGAUGGUCCUAAUGAUGAUCCUGCAUGUAUUUCGUGUGUAUCUCACCGGCGGAUUUAAAAAACCUCGCGAAUUGACUUGGGUUACAGGUGUGGUUCUGGCUGUAUUAACCGCAUCUUUUGGCGUAACUGGUUAUUCCUUACCUUGGGACCAAAUUGGCUAUUGGGCAGUGAAAAUAGUAACAGGUGUCCCUGACGCUAUUCCUGUAAUAGGAUCACCUUUGGUCGAAUUAUUGCGCGGAAGCGCUAGUGUGGGACAAUCUACUUUGACUCGUUUUUAUAGUUUACACACUUUUGUAUUGCCGCUUCUUACUGCCGUAUUUAUGUUAAUGCACUUUCCAAUGAUACGUAAACAAGGUAUUUCUGGGCCUUUAUAGAUAGAGAAAAUCAAAAUAUAUCCUAACUAUUUGUAAUCAAUCGUUUAUCACUUGGUGUAGGAAUAUAUAGUAUUUCAUUGCUACAAGUAUGGAUUAUUGAAAAUAAUAAGACAUGGAUUUGGACAUUUCCCUUUAACCAUUCAUGCCAACUAAACGGGGGGAUUGAAGGGAAUUUUGUGAAGAGAAAAUGGAUUAUGGGAGUGUGUGACUUGAACUAUUGAUUGGUCUGUGUAGAUAUAUGCCUGCCACAUGGGAAUUCACAACCAAAUGUGUCUCUUUGUUCCAAUCGCCGUGUAACCCUAUACAGAGGAUAGGCUGGUUCGCUUAAAGAGAAUCUUUUCUAUGAUCCGAAUCAUGUUGUACAUGAGCAGGCUCCGUAAGAUCUAGUAUAAGUGAACUAGAUAAAAGGGAAUCAAGAUUCCCUUUUAUCUAGUUCACUUAGAAGAUUUAAUAGUAUGUAAAUGUAUUCAUUUCCUCUGCAUUGACACGAUCAAUACUACUAUCGGAGUGAAACAAGGGAUCUAAAGAAGAAGAGAGGCUAGACUAUAUUAGUAACAAGCAAACCUUGUAUGUGUAUCUCCAAGCAUUUUGGAGAUAAAUACCAAUUAGAAGGUCUGAGACGACCCAGAAAGCACUUGAUCAUAUCAUGAUCUGAUUUGUAAGCCUACUUGGGUCUUGAGUAUUUACUUGUAAGAACGGAAUUCUUUGUUUUGUAAUGGAGAGUUGCAACUCCAUAAAAAAGAAUUCAGUCAAAUUUUUCUUAUAUUGAACCAUUCCUAUAUCAUAUAUGUGUAUGUGUAAAUACAGGUACCAUAUAGAUAUUUUCUAUGGAUAUAUGGAUUCGUUUGGUUCUUUUUAUUCUUGCUCGAGCUGGAUGAUUAAAAAUUAUCAUGUCCAGUUCCCUCGGGGGAUGGAUCUAUAAGAAUUCACCUAUCCCAAUAACAAAAAAACCUGACUUGAAUGAUCCUGUAUUAAGAGCUAAAUUGGCUAAGGGUAUGGGUCAUAAUUAUUAUGGCGAGCCCGCAUGGCCCAAUGAUCUUUUAUAUAUUUUUCCAGUAGUAAUUCUAGGUACUAUUGCAUGUAAUGUAGGCUUAGCCGUUUUAGAACCAUCAAUGAUUGGUGAACCAGCGGAUCCAUUUGCAACCCCUUUGGAAAUCUUACCUGAAUGGUAUUUCUUUCCUGUAUUUCAAAUACUUCGUACAGUGCCCAAUAAAUUAUUGGGGGUUCUUUUAAUGGUUUCAGUACCUGCGGGAUUAUUAACAGUACCUUUUUUAGAGAAUGUUAAUAAAUUCCAAAAUCCAUUUCGCCGUCCAGUAGCGACGACUGUCUUUUUGAUUGGUACCGCAGUCGCCCUUUGGUUGGGCAUUGGUGCAACAUUACCUAUUGAUAAAUCCCUAACUUUAGGUCUUUUUUAAAUUUUUUAAUUGAUUCAAUUGUGAACUAACACGACAUGUGUAUCUAGGGAAUAGUUUCUUCAAAGCGAAUUCUCCCUAGAUACAUCUAUUCAAUUUCAUUAUUAAUUUCUUUCUAAUAUCUAAUAUAUGAUAUAUUAAUUGUGCUAAAUUGUGCUUUUUCAAUCUAUUUUCACUAAGUAAGUCCAAUAGAUUUAAAACUUAUUUUUUGCUAAAUCAAUUACGAAAUAUUUUUCUAAAAUGUCCAAUAUCUGUUUUAUAUCUUCGCUACGAAAAUGUUCAAUUUUCAUAAGAUCUUCUUGGCUGUUAUUCAAAAGGUCCAAUAAUGUAUAUAUAUUGGACAUUUUGAGGCAAUUAUAGAUCCUGGAAGACAAUUCUGAUUGGUCAAUAAAAAUCGAUUUCAAUGCUAUUUUUUUUUUGUUUUUUAUGAGUUUAGCCAAUUUAUCAUGAAAGGUAAAAGGGGAUAAAGGAACCGUGUGUUGAUUGUCCUGUAAAUAUAAGUUGUCUUCCUCCAUAUGUAAAAAGGGAAUAAAUAAAUCAAUUAAAUUUCGGGAUGCGUCAUGAAGUGCUUCUUUCGGAGUUAAACUUCCGUUUGUCCAUAUUUCGAUAAAAAGUAUCUCUUGUUUUUCAUUCCCAUUCCCAUAAGAAUGAAUACUAUGAUUCGCGUUUCGAACAGGCAUGAAUACAGCAUCUAUAGGAUAACUUCCAUCUUGAAAGUUAUGUGGCGUUUUUAUAAGAUAUCCACGAUUUCUCUCUAUUUGUAAUCCAAUACAAAAAUCAAUUGGUUCCGUUAAACUAGCUAUAUGUUGUGUAUUAUCAACGAUUUCCACAUAAGGUGGCAAGAUGAUAUCUUGAGCAGUUACAUAUCCAGGACCCUUGACACAAAUAGACGCCUCAGAAGUUCCAUAUAAAUUACUUCUCAAUACAAUCUCUUUCAAAUUCAUUAAAAUUUCAUGUACCGAUUCUUGAAUGCCCGUUAUGGUAGAAUAUUCAUGUGGUACUUUCUCAGAUUUUACACGUGUGAUACAUGUUCCUUCUAUUUCCCCAAGUAAAGCUCUUCGCAUCGCAAUGCCUAUUGUGUCGGCUUGGCCUUUCAUAAGUGGAGACAGAAUAAAGCGUCCAUAAUAAAGGCGUUUACUGUCUGUUCUUGAUUCAACACACUUCCACUGUAGUGUCCGAGUAGAUACUGUUACUUUCUCUCGAACCAUAGUACUAUUAUUUGAUUAGAUCAUCGAAUCUUUUAUUUCUCUUGAGAUUUCUUCAAUGUUCAGUUCUACACACGUCUUUUUUUCGGAGGUCUACAGCCAUUAUGUGGCAUCGGAGUUACAUCCCGUACGAAAGUUAAUAGUAUACCACUGCGACGAAUAGCUCGUAAUGCUGCAUCUCUUCCGAGACCGGGACCUUUUAUCAUGACUUCUGCUCGUUGCAUACCUUGAUCCACUACUGUACGGAUAGCGUUUGCUGCUGCGGUUUGAGCAGCAAACGGUGUUCCUCUUCUCGUACCUUUGAAUCCAGAAGUACCAGCUGAGGACCAAGAAACUACUCGACCCCGUACAUCUGUAACAGUGACAAUGGUAUUAUUGAAACUUGCUUGAACAUGAAUAACUCCCUUUGGUAUUCUACGUGCACCCUUACGUGAACUAAUACGUCCAUUCCGACGCGAACUAAUUUUCGGUAUAGCUUUUGCCAUAUUUUAUCAUCUCGUAAAUAUGAGUCAGAGAUAUAUGGAUAUAUCCAUUUCAUGUCAAAACAGAUUCUUUAUUUGUACAUCGGCUCUUCUGGCAAGUCUGAUUAGCCCUGUCUUUGUUUAUGUCUCGGGUUGGAACAAAUUACUAUAAUGCGCCCCCUCCUACGGAUUAGUCGACAUUUUUCACAAAUUUUACGAACGGAAGCUCUUAUUUUCAUAUUUAUCAUUCCUUACCUUAAUUCUGAAUCUAUUUCUUGGAAGAAAAUAAGUUUCUUGAAAUUUUUCAUCUCGAAUUGUAUUCCCACGAAAGGAAUGGUGAAGUUGAAAACCUAAUCCUUCAAAUCUUUGUUGUGGAGUCGAUAAAUUAUAUGUCCUUUGGUUGAAUCAUAAGGACUUACUUCAAUUUUGACUCUAUCUCCUGGCAGUAUCUGUAUAAAACAAAGUUCCUUUGAGGUAUCAACUAAUGCGAAAGAUAUUAGAUAACUCUCCCCCCCUUUUUCGCAAAUAGGAAGUUUCGAAUUCAAUUUGCAUAUUAUAAAGGAUUACCAGAUAUAACACAAAAUUUCUCCACCUAUUCCUUCUAGUCGAGCCUCUCGGUCUGUCAUUAUACCUCGAGAAGUAGAAAGAAUUACAAUCCCCAUUCCACCUAAAAUUCGCGGAAUUCGUUGAUAAUUAGAAUAGAUUCGUAGACCAGGUCGACUGAUUCGUUUUAAAUUUAAAAUAUUUCUAUAGGGUCUUUUCCUAUUCCUUCUAUGUCGCAGGGUUAAAACCAAAAAGUAUUUGUUGUUUUCUCGAUGUUUUCUCACGUUUUCGAUAAAACCCUCUCGUAAAAGUAUUUGAACAAUAUUUUCGGUAAUAUUAGUAGAUGCUAUUCGAACCACCCUUUUUCGAUCCAUAUCAGCAUUUCGUAUAGAAGUUAUUAUCUCAGCAAUAGUGUCCCUGCCCAUGAUGAACUAAAAUUAUUGGGGUCUCCAAAUUUGAUAUAAUCAACGUGUUUUUUACUUAUUUAUUUUUGAAUAUGAUAUGAAUUAUUAAAGAUAUAUGCGUGAGACACAAUCUACUAAUUAAUCUAUUUCUUUCAAAUACCCCACUCGAAACAGAUCACAAUUUCAUUUUAUAAUACCUCGGGAGCUAAUGAAACUAUUUUAGUAAAAUUUAAUUCUCUCAAUUCCCGGGCGAUUGCACCAAAAAUUCGAGUUCCUUUUGGAUUUCCUUCUUGAUCAAUAACAACUGCAGCAUUGUCAUCGUAUCGUAUUAUCAUCCCGUUGUCACGUUUGAGUUCUUUACAGGUACGCACAAUUACAGCUCUGACUACUUCUGAUCUUUCUAGGGGCAUAUUUGGUACUGCUUCUUUGAUCACAGCAACAAUAACGUCACCAAUAUGAGCAUAUCGACGAUUGCUAGCUCCUAUGAUUCGAAUACACAUCAAUUCUCGAGCCCCGCUAUUAUCCGCUACAUUUAAAUGGGUCUGAGGUUGAAUCAUUUUUUUAAUCCGUUCUUUGAAUGCAAAGGGCGAAGAAAAAAAAAGAAAUAUUUUUGUCCAAAAAAAAGAAACAUGCGGUUUUCUUUCAUAUCUAAGAGCCCUUUCUACAUUUUUUUCUAUUACAUUACGAAAUAAUGAAUUGAGUUCGUAUAGGCAUUUUGGAUGCUGCUAGUGAAAUAGCCCUUCUGGCUAUAUUUUCUGUUACUCCACCCAUUUCAUAAAGUAUUCGCCCCGGUUUAACAACAGCUACCCAAUAUUCAGGGGAUCCUUUUCCUGAACCCAUACGGGUUUCUGCCGGUCUUAAUGUAACAGGUUUGUCUGGAAAUAUACGUACCCAUAUUUUUCCACCACGACGUGCAUUUCGUGUCAUUGCCCGUCGGCCUGCUUCUAUUUGUCGAGAUGUAAUCCAAGCAGGUUCAAGUGCCUGAAGAGCAUAUUUACCGAAAGAAAUACGAUUACCUCGAUAAGAUAUUCCCUUCAUUCUGCCUCUAUGUUGUUUACGGAAUCUGGUUCUUUUGGGGUUAUAGUUGAUGGUUGGUUCUGAAUUCCAUCUCUACUACAGAACCGGACGUGAGAGUUUCUUCUCAUCCAGCUCCUCGCAAAUAAAAGGAUUCAAAAAAAUUCAAUUUGAAUUAAGCUAGAAUAGUAAAUCUUAAGUUAAGAUAUAUAAGAUAUGUAUUUACUGAGUAAUACCUUGAACGUGGGCUUCUUUGAGAUUUCAUUAAAUCUAUUAGUAAUUUGUAUAUCUUGUUUGAAUAGAUAACUAAACUUUGUAGUUUUCUAAAGAGAAAUAAAAAAAAUUGUAUUAUUAUACCAAAUCCUUAUUUUGUCCUUUAUUGUAUUGUCCUAAAUUUUGCAAUAAAAAAGUUUUCGCGGGCGAAUAUUUACUCUUUCAAUCCCUAUUUCAUUUGUAGGGUUAACUCGUGACUUCUCAGAUCUCAGAAUACAUGAAUUAAUCUAUGGUUCGUUCCGCCAUCCCGACCAGUGAAUCAUUAAGAUUCCUUUUUCAAUAGAAUCUUUUGCAUUCACAAGUUCCGUCGUUCCCAUCACUUCUUACUUAAUGGUUAGGUCCGAAUUCUACAAUGGAGCUCAGAAUCAAAUUGGUUCUUGAGUCAAUCUUCUUAGUCUUUAUUGGCUCGAAGCUCUUGAUUUUUUGUUCUAUUUCUAUAAGAAGAUUCUUUUUAGUAUGGUAUGAAUGCGUAUUGAUGCUUUAUUACACUGUCUUUUAUGAGAUUACUCAUAGACCUUACAUAUUGGAAUUUUAUAUCAUUGGUAUUCUUUUUCUCUCUUUCUCUCAUCCUUCCCUUUAUCCACAUCUUUUUUGUCUAUUUUGCUUUACAACUUAGAAGCAGAUUUUUUUGUUUAUGCAAAAGAUUUCAGUUGCUACAAAGAUAUGACCUAUAUAUCAUAUCUUGACUGGUUCUUUAGAUCCAGAUAAUGCGAAGUGAUGGGUUGGUUAUUAGUUCUAUAGUUUUUAGUUCAUACUAUGUGGGCUGGGUUUUUUUAAUCCUAACCCUAACAAAACCCACGAGUCACACACUAAGCAUAGCAAUUAUAUCAAAUGGUCAAUCGAAUUUUUAUUCAACCUUAUAGAAUUAAGAAUUAGAAAGAAUUAAGAAUUAGAAAUGUUCCCCUUGAUUAGAAAAAGAAUGAAUUGGUCUUUUUUUUUGUUCAAUCAUUGGAUAGAAGGGAAAGACAAGUAGUAAAAUUAUUCCUCGUCUAGAAAUAUCCAAAUUUUGAUGCCCAAUAUUCCAUAGAUAGUUCGAACUGUAUAAGAGCAAUAAUCAAUUUUAGCUCGAAUCGUUUGUAGGGGAACCCUGCCUUCUCUGAUCCAUUCGACACGUGCAAUUUCUUUUCCGUCGAUACGCCCCGCAAUUUGUAUUUGAAUUCCUUUUGUAUCCGCUUGUUCUGUUAAUUCAAUAGCCUUUUUCAUUGCUUUUCGAAAUGAAACUCUAUUCUUUAAUUGUCCAGCUAUAAAUUCUGCAAGAAUAUUAGGGUUUCCGUAAGGUUUUGCAAUUCUUGUGACAGCAAUGUUCAGUUUUCGGUUUACACAAUUAAAUUCUUUUUGUAAGGUCAUUUGUAAUUCUUCGAUUCCGCGCGGUCGACUUUCUAUUAAUAAUUUUGGGAAUCCCAUAAAGAUUAUGACCUGGAUCAGAUCGAUUCUUUUUUGAAUCUCUAUACGUGCAAUUCCCUCGAUGCCAGAGGACGUUCUCAUAUUUUUUUGUACAUAAUUCUUGAUACAAUCUCUGAUUUUUUUAUCUUCUUGUAAACCCUCAGAAUAAUUUUUGGGUUGUGAAAACCAAAGGGAAUGAUGACCUUGGGUUGUACCCAGUCUGAAACCAAGUGGAUUUAUUUUUUGUCCCAUAAUCCCCCGCUAUUAUACAUAUCACGAUACGUCAUAGCUGUAGAUUUUUUUUUCCAUCUCGUUUUUUUUAACGAAGACAUCUCGCCAUAUUCAUCAUCUAAAGAUAUAUCUUUCAUUACAAUAGUUAUAUGACAGGUCGAUCUUUUUAUCGGAAAACUACGUCC
rnacentral:lncRNA from 1 species